UACCCUUCAAACCCUCAGCAGCCCAAACCUCAGCAGGCUGAACCCCUGCAAGGGGUGCUCCAAAGUAAAGCUGGCAUGUGGGACAUUCCUUCCCAAGGAAGUGUUGCUUCUGGCUCUAAUGUGCAGCCCACUGACUCAAACUCGCACUUGAAUGUUGACCCAACAAGUUUGAGAGAAAUUCCAAUGUCAUUCCUGUACCAGCCCAGGUGGCAACAGCAACUGGUGCCAGUGUAGAACAGACAUCAUUGACCUUCCUAACUGUUCCUGGACUUGCCUGGAAGCAGUCUGAACUGGCAUCAACUUUGAAUUUAAUAAAAUACUUGGAACACACUCUUUGGAUGUUAUUUGAAACUUUACUUGUGCUGUGCUGUAGACAGUGCUGCACCCUUACUUUCUGAACAUGUCCACAACCACUUGCUUGUUUCCUUUGAACUUCAGGGGUUUGUUUUCCUGGCAAGGUACAAUAACAUUGUGAACAGCAGCUCACAGUAAUGUGUAUUCAAAUAUGUAUUGACCAGCAAGUUUAAAAGACUUGACUAAGAAUGUUCUUCACUUAACAUUUGAAAGUUUGAUGACUUAAAGGCUGAGAACUUUCAAGGAUGAGUGUCCAACAUUAUUUCAAAGUGUCAGACUCUGGUUCCUAAUGAGGUUUAUUGGACUACACAUGACAAACUUGUAUCACUUAAAACAACAUCUUCAGAAACAUUGCAGUUUAGGCUUUAUUCCAUGUUGCUGAAUUGAUUGUUAUAUAAUGCAUAUGUUUGUGUAUUUUGGGCCUAAUGUGUAUAGGUCCUGUUAGGCAUGUGUGUAACUGUUAAUCAACAACAGAUUGAAACACUGAGAAUAAAAAAGUAUGCCUUCUAGAGUAAGACGGGUGAGCUGGAGGGCCCUGAGGUGGAUGGAUUUGUCAAAGAUAUGAUGGAGCUGGUGAAGCCCAGCAUCAGUGGCACAGACCUGGACAAGUUCAGGAAAGCUCUGAUGGGUCACCGCGACAUCAACGGAGACGGAAAGAUCCAGAAGAACGAGCUGGCUCUCUGCCUCGGCCUCAAACUCAGCUAACAGACCACAACGUUCACACAUUUUUCUUUCUUUCCUCUAUCCUUCUUUCCAUCUUCCUUCUCUCUAUGUACAGUUCUAAAUUAUUUUAUUUUUCAAUUUAAAUGUGUAUCUUUUACUAUACUCAUUUACUCCCGUCUGAAUCAUUACUUCUCCCUCCCUAUUUUAGCAGUAUCGCCUCAAUUAUUGGCUCUCAGUUGGUGUUUUAAGAAUGAUGUAUCUACAUGUUUUAUGCUCAUAUAUAUAUAUAAUGUUAUAUAUUGCUAUAAUAUUUAUAUUAAAAUAUCGAGCAAUUUAAAUAAUGGUAAAUGUGGAGCCAUGAGUUGGGACAUAAAAAUCGUUUGUUUUCUUUAAUGUAAAAAAUAAUGAAACAUUGUUUGAAUUACAUUUUUUGUGAAACGAGUAUCAUGAAUGAUGGCUAAUAAAAUAGUUUGUGUCUUUGUCA